AUAGUUCCACUAAUCAGGAGGUCUAGAAGGAGUCAUAGUUCCACUAAUCAGGAGAUCUAGAAGGAGUCAUAGUUCCACUAAUCAGGAGGUCUAGAAGGAGUCAUAGUUCCACUAAUCAGGAGGUCUAGAAGGAGUCAUAGUUCCACUAAUCAGGAGGUCUAGAAGGAGUCAUAGUUCCACUAAUCAGGAGGUCUAGAAGGAGUCAUAGUACCACUAAUCAGGAGAUCUAGAAGGAGUCAUAGUACCACUAAUCAGGAGGUCUAGAAGGAGUCACAGUUCCACUAAUCAGGAGGUCUAGAAGGAGUCAUAGUACCACUAAUCAGGAGGUCUAGAAGGAGUCAUAGUUCCACUAAUCAGGAGGUCUAGAAGGAGUCACAGUACCACUAAUCAGGAGGUCUAGAAGGAGUCAUAGUUCCACUAAUCAGGAGGUCUAGAAGGAGUCACAGUACCACUAAUCAGGAGGUCUAGAAGGAGUCAUAGUACCACUAAUCAGGAGGUCUAGAAGGAGUCAUAGUUCCACUAAUCAGGAGGUCUAGAAGGAGUCAUAGUUCCACUAAUCAGGAGGUCUAGAAGGAGUCACAGUUCCACUAAUCAGGAGGUCUAGAAGGAGUCAUAGUUCCACUAAUCAGGAGGUCUAGAAGGAGUCAUAGUACCACUAAUCAGGAGGUCUAGAAGGAGUCAUAGUUCCACUAAUCAGGAGGUCUAGAAGGAGUCAUAGUUCCACUAAUCAGGAGGUCUAGAAGGAGUCAUAGUACCACUAAUCAGGAGGUCUAGAAGGAGUCAUAGUUCCACUAAUCAGGAGGUCUAGAAGGAGUCAUAGUACCACUAAUCAGGAGGUCUAGAAGGAGUCAUAGUUCCACUAAUCAGGAGGUCUAGAAGGAGUCAUAGUUCCACUAAUCAGGAGGUCUAGAAGGAGUCAUAGUACCACUAAUCAGGAGGUCUCGAAGGAGUCAUAGUUCCACUAAUCAGGAGGUCUAGAAGGAGUCAUAGUUCCACUAAUCAGGAGGUCUAGAAGGAGUCACAGUUCCACUGAUCAGGAGGUCUAGAAGGAGUCAUAGUUUCACUAAUCAGGAGGUCUAGAAGGAGUCACAGUUCCACUGAUCAGGAGGUCUAGAAGGAGUCAUAGUUCCACUAAUCAGGAGGUCUAGAAGGAGUCAUAGUUCCACUAAUCAGGAGGUCUAGAAGGAGUCAUAGUUUCACUGAUCAGGAGGUCUAGAAGGAGUCACAGUUCCACUAAUCAGGAGGUCUAGAAGGAGUCAUAGUUCCACUAAUCAGGAGGUCUAGAAGGAGUCAUAGUACCACUAAUCAGGAGGUCUAGAAGGAGUCACAGUUCCACUGAUCAGGAGGUCUAGAAGGAUUCAUAGUUCCACUAAUCAGGAGGUCUAGAAGGAGUCAUAGUUCCACUAAUCAGAGCUCCUAAAAUGACUCCACAGACAGUGAACUACUUUCUCCAUCAGCUGUAAAAACAGACAUCAGCUGCGUCAGACUUGGUUCAGGGGUUCUCCAUGGAAACCAGAGUUAGUGUGAAGCUCAGACAGUGUGAAGGAACCUUCAGAACAUCAACCUCUAUGGACAGAGAAUCAGAACUAAACCUUGCUGCUGCUCAGAACUAAACUUCCAGAUGAAGAACAUGAGACGAAGCCUGAUGGAUGCUGGAGAACAUGCUUUGGUCAGAUGAAGAUCAAUGAGUUGGGCUCAGAUGGAGUCCAGAUGUUUGGUGAGAACCUGACCAGGACUACCACAGUGGAUGGAUGGUCCUGACAGUGAAGC